rnacentral:rRNA from 1 species
UGCUAGUCGUGCGCUUCAGCUAAAACGAGGCGCGGCAUACAGCUCAGUAACACGUGGCUAAUCUGCCCUUGGGACGAGAACGACCCCGGGAAACUGGGGCUAAUUCUCGAUAGGUGAAGAACUCUGGAAUGAGUCUUCGCUUAAAAAGCUUCACGUUAUGCUCGUGAAGUCGCCCAAGGAUGAGGCCGCGACCGAUCAGGUUGUUGGUGAGGUAAUGGCUCACCAAGCCUUUUACCGGUGCGGGCCGUGAGAGCGGGAGCCCGGAGAUGGGCACUGAGACAAGGGCCCAGGCCCUACGGGGCGCAGCAGUCGCGAAAACUUUGCAAUACACGAAAGUGUGACAGGGCUAUCCCGAGUGCCAUCCGCUGAGGAAGGCUUUUACCCAGUAUAGAUCGCUGGGGGAAUAAGGAGAGGGCAAGUCUGGUGUCAGCCGCCGCGGUAAUACCAGCUCUCCGAGUGGUGUGGAUGUUUAUUGGGCCUAAAGCAUCCGUAGCUGGCUAAGUUAGUCCCUUGUUAAAUCCACCGAAUUAAUCGUUGGAUUGCGGGGGAUACUGCUUGGCUAGGGGACGAGAGAGGCAGACGGUAUUUCCGGGGUAGGGGUGAAAUCCUAUAAUCCCGGGAAGACCACCAGUGGCGAAGGCUGUCUGCUAGAACGCGCCCGACGGUGAGGGAUGAAAGCUGGGGGAGCGAACCGGAUUAGAUACCCGGGUAGUCCCAGCUGUAAACGAUGCACGCUAGGUGUUUGGACGGCCACGUGCCGUUCUAGUGCCGCACGGAAGCUGUUAAGCCUGCCGCCUGGGGAGUACGAUCGCAAGAUUGAAACUUAA